rnacentral:lncRNA from 1 species
CUUUUGGGUGAGAGACUUAGAACUGUUCUAGAUUUUUGGAUGAGAAAAAAACCAAAGAGAAAAGAGUCUUCGACAUUGAAAAGGUUCAAGGUGAAUAAAGAAAAAGAUCAAAUUGGAUCUACUAUCAGAAGCCAACUGUGUGAGCUAGCACUCUCGCAGAGGGCUGAUCGGUCCGAAGGGCUUCGUGUGGACCAUCCAUAG